GUACCUGUCAUUACAGGCACUCCCCCUGCUGGCUAUGCCGUCCAUGUGAUCGUGAGGUCCUGACCUCGCGAUCACAUGGCCCAGGGGGGCCGAAGAGGGACUCUCUGGGCUUCCAAGUGAGUCCCCAUACCUCGAUCGCCGGUGACUGGGUAAGUAGAAAGGACUGUUUGGGCGUUCUAUGCCGCCCUCCAGCGUUUAGAGC